GGCCAGACUCCUACGGGAGGCAGCAGUGGGGAAUAUUGCACAAUGGGGGAAACCCUGAUGCAGCGACGCCGCGUGAGUGAAGAAGUAUUUCGGUAUGUAAAGCUCUAUCAGCAGGAAAGAAAAUGACGGUACCUGACUAAGAAGCCCCGGCUAACUACGUGCCAGCAGCCGCGGUAAUACGUAGGGGGCAAGCGUUAUCCGGAUUUACUGGGUGUAAAGGGAGCGUAGACGGUGAAGCAAGUCUGAAGUGAAGGGCGGGGGUCAAACCCCGGACUGCUUUGGAAACUGUUUGACUGGAGUGCAGGAGAGGUAAGUGGAAUUCCUAGUGUAGCGGUGAAAUGCGUAGAUAUUAGGAGGAACACCAGUGGCGAAGGCGGCUUACUGGACUGUAACUGACGUUGAGGCUCGAAAGCGUGGGGAGCAAACAGGAUUAGAUACCCGAGUAA
rnacentral:rRNA from 1 species